rnacentral:misc_RNA from 1 species
UAGGGAGGUUGCAAGCGGUAAUCGGAAUUACUGGGCGUAGAGCGCGCGUAGGCGGCAAGUCAAGUUGGGUGUGAAAGCCCCGGGCUCAACCUGGGAACUGCAUCCAAAACUGGCUAGCUCGAGUACAGCAGAGGAUAGUGGAAUUUCCGGUGUAGCGUUGAAAUGCGUAGAGAUCGGAAGGAACACCAGUGGCGAAGGCGACUGUCUGGGCUGAUACUGACGCUGAGGUGCGAAAGCGUGGGGAGCAAACAGG